AUACGUAGGUGGCAAGCGUUAUCCGGAUUUACUGGGUGUAAAGGGCGUGUAGGCGGGACUGCAAGUCAGAUGUGAAAAUUAUGGGCUCAACCCAUAACCUGCAUUUGAAACUGUGGUUCUUGAGUGAUGGAGAGGCAGGCGGAAUUCCGUGUGUAGCGGUGAAAUGCGUAGAUAUACGGAGGAACACCAGUGGCGAAGGCGGCCUGCUGGACAUUAACUGACGCUGAGGCGACGAAAGCGGUGGGGAGAC
rnacentral:rRNA from 1 species